AGAGUGAACGCUGGCGGUAGGCCUAACACAUGCAAGUCGAACGGCAGCACAGUGGUAGCAAUACCAUGGGUGGCGAGUGGCGGACGGGUGAGGAAUACAUCGGAAUCUACCUUUUCGUGGGGGAUAACGUAGGGAAACUUACGCUAAUACCGCAUACGCCCUUCGGGGGAAAGCCGGGGAUCGCAAGACCUGGCGCGGAUAGAUGAGCCGAUGUCGGAUUAGCUAGUUGGUGAGGUAAUGGCUCACCAAGGCGACGAUCCGUAGCUGGUCUGAGAGGAUGAUCAGCCACACUGGAACUGAGACACGGUCCAGACUCCUACGGAGGCAGCAGUGGGAAUAUUGGACAAUGGGCGCAAGCCUGAUCCAGCCAUACCGCGUGGGUGAAGAAGGCCUUGGUUGUAAGCCCUUUGUAGGAAAGAAAGCAAUCGUUAAGUACCGUUGUUCGUAGACGUACCAAAGAA
rnacentral:rRNA from 1 species